rnacentral:rRNA from 1 species
UUCAGUGAAAUCGAGUAGGGCGGGACACGUGAUAUCCUGUCUGAAUAUGGGGGGACCAUCCUCCAAGGCUAAAUACUACUGACUGACCGAUAGUGAACCAGUACCGUGAGGGAAAGGCGAAAAGAACCCCUGUGAGGGGAGUGAAAUAGAACCUGAAACCGUGUACGUACAAGCAGUAGGAGCAGGCUUUGUCCUGUGACUGCGUACCUUUUGUAUAAUGGGUCAGCGACUUAUAUUCAGUGGCAAGGUUAACCAUCUAGGGGAGCCGUAGGGAAACCGAGUCUUAACUGGGCGUUCAGUCUCUGGAUAUAGACCCGAAACCAGGUGAUCUAGCCAUGGGCAGGUUGAAGGUUGAGUAACAUCAACUGGAGGACCGAACCGACUAAUGUUGAAAAAUUAGCGGAUGACUUGUGGCUAGGGGUGAAAGGCCAAUCAAACCUGGAGAUAGCUGGUUCUCCCCGAAAGCUAUUUAGGUAGCGCCUCGGACGAAUACUACUGGGGGUAGAGCACUGUUAAGGCUAGGGGGUCAUCCCGACUUACCAACCCUUUGCAAACUCCGAAUACCAGUAAGUACUAUCCGGGAGACACACGGCGGGUGCUAACGUCCGUCGUGGAGAGGGAAACAACCCAGACCGCCAGCUAAGGUCCCAAAUUACUACUAAGUGGGAAACGAUGUGGGAAGGCUCAGACAGCCAGGAUGUUGGCUUAGAAGCAGCCAUCAUUUAAAGAAAGCGUAAUAGCUCACUGGUCGAGUCGGCCUGCGCGGAAGAUGUAACGGGGCUAAGUAGUAAACCGAAGCUGCGGCAAUGUGCUUUUGCACAUUGGGUAGGGGAGCGUUCUGUAAGCGGUUGAAGGUGUGUGGUAACGCAUGCUGGACGUAUCAGAAGUGCGAAUGCUGACAUGAGUAACGAUAAAGGGGGUGAAAAACCUCCUCGCCGGAAGACCAAGGGUUCCUGUCCAACGUUAAUCGGGGCAGGGUAAGUCGACCCCUAAGGCGAGGCCGAAAGGCGUAGUCGAUGGGAAACGGGUUAAUAUUCCCGUACUUCUUACAAUUGCGAUGGGGGGACGGAGAAGGCUAGGUGGGCCUGGCGACGGUUGUCCAGGUUCAAGUGCGUAGGCUUAAGAGUUAGGUAAAUCCGGCUCUUU